GACGAACGCUGGCGGCGUGCUUAACACAUGCAAGUCGAACGGGCCUGUCUUCUUUUUUGGGGGUGGGUUGAGUGGCGAACGGGUGAGUAUCACGUGAGUAACCUGCCCUUCGGUCCUGGAUAACCGCUUGAAAGGGCGGCUAAUACGGGGUGGUCCGGUUGGUCCGCAUGGGCUGGUCGGGAUAGAUUCACUGUUUUUGGUGUUUCGGCGGGGGAUGGGCUCGCGGCCUAUCGGCUUGUUGGUGGGGUGAUGGCCUACCAAGGCGGUGACGGGUAGCCGGCCUGAGAGGGUGGGCGGCCACACUGGGACUGAGAUACGGCCCAGACUCCUGCGGGCGGCAGCAGUGGGGGGUAUUGCACAAUGGGCGGAAGCCUGAUGCAGCGACGUCGCGUGAGGGAUGGAGGCCUUCGGGUUGUGAACCUCUGUUUCCGGUGGUGAAGGCCCUGUCCGUGUGGUGGGGUUGACGGUAGCCGGGGAUGAAGCGCCGGCUAACUACGUG
rnacentral:rRNA from 1 species